UGACCUCGGAUCAGGUAGGAAUACCCGCUGAACUUAAGCAUAUCAAUAAGCGGAGGAAAAGAAACCAACAGGGAUUGCCUUAGUAACGGCGAGUGAAGCGGCAACAGCUCAAAUUUGAAAUCUGGCCUCUUUGGGGUCCGAGUUGUAAUUUGGAGAGGAUGUUUCGGGUACGGUCCGGGCUUAUAUUUCUUGGAACAGAAUGUCAUAGAGGGUGAGAAUCCCGUCUGGAGUCCGGACACGGCCUAUGUGAAACUCCUUCGACGAGUCGAGUUGUUUGGGAAUGCAGCUCUAAAUGGGUGGUAAAUUUCAUCUAAAGCUAAAUAUUGGCCAGAGACCGAUAGCGCACAAGUAGAGUGAUCGAAAGAUGAAAAGCACUUUGAAAAGAGAGUUAAAAAGUACGUGAAAUUGUUGAAAGGGAAGCGCUGGCAACCAGACUUGCACGUCGGGUUC
rnacentral:rRNA from 1 species